rnacentral:rRNA from 1 species
UAGGGAAUCUUCGGCAAUGGACGGAAGUCUGACCAAGCAACGCCGCGUGAGUGAAGAAGGUUUUCGGAUCGUAAAGCUCUGUUGUAAGAGAAGAACGAGUGUGAGAGUGGAAAGUUCACACUGUGACGGUAUCUUACCAGAAAGGGACGGCUAACUACGUGCCAGCAGCCGCGGUAAUACGUAGGUCCCGAGCGUUGUCCGGAUUUAUUGGGCGUAAAGCGAGCGCAGGCGGUUAGAUAAGUCUGAAGUUAAAGGCUGUGGCUUAACCAUAGUAGGCUUUGGAAACUGUUUAACUUGAGUGCAAGAGGGGAGAGUGGAAUUCCAUGUGUAGCGGUGAAAUGCGUAGAUAUAUGGAGGAACACCGGUGGCGAAAGCGGCUCUCUGGCUUGUAACUGACGCUGAGGCUCGAAAGCGUGGGGAGCAAACAGGAUUAGAUACCCUGGUAGUCCACGCUGUAAACGAUGAGUGCUAGGUGUUAGACCCUUUCCGGGGUUUAGUGCCGUAGCUAACGCAUUAAGCACUCCGCCUGGGGAGUACGACCGCAAGGUUG